rnacentral:rRNA from 1 species
GGUUAAAAAGCUCGUAGUUGGAUCUCGGCAGGUAGGGGGCGGUUCGUUUCUGACGGCACUGCCCCAUUUAGGUGUGUUUUUGACGGAGGUCUCAAGGUGGCUUUAAACGGCUGUCUUGGUACGCCGUCAGGUUUACUUUGAAAAAAUUAGAGUGCUCAAAGCAGGCUACAAAGCUUGAAUAUUUGUGCAUGGAAUAAUGGAAUAGGAAGCCGUUUCUAUUUUUUUUGGUUUUCGGGAAUUGACUUAAUGAUUAAUAGGGACAGCCGGGGGCAUUAGUACUCAGACGACAGAGGUGAAAUUCUUGGACCGUUUGAGGACUAACUACUGCGAAAGCAUUUGCCAAGAGUGUUUUCAUUAAUCAAGAACGAAAGUUAGAGGUUCGAAGGCGAUCAGAUACCGCCCUAGU